UGUCUUUCCACCUUCACCAGAAGCUCCUUUAUCUGUUCCUAAGCGGAGUUAGGGGGUCAAAUUCUAAAUGCAAUAAUUUGUUAAUGUUAAUGUUGCAUUCUCUUUUGGUUUUGGCAUAAACGGGUCUCGCUUUUCUGAUAAGCCACUGAAAAUUUUUCACACCUUUGACCCUAAAACUUGAUUAGAAGAUUGGUAUUCACUAGAAUUCCUCAAAUCCAUGGAAGAAUCAAGUGAAUUGCAAUCAGAAGAAAAUAAAGUCUCUAUGGAGAAAAAUAAGAAAAGAAAGCUCAAAACACCUGCCCAGGUUACGGCCUUGGAGAAAUUUUAUAAUGAGCACAAGUAUCCCACAGAGGAAAUGAAAUCACAAGUUGCUGAGGAGAUAGGGUUGACAGAAAAGCAGAUAUCUGGAUGGUUUUGCCACAGAAGGUUAAAAGAUAAAAAAUUAUUGAAAGGUGAAGCAUUUGCUAAUGGACGACAAGAUCAUUCAAGUGGUGUCAUCCAGGAUCGUGGCAGUGGACUUGGGCAAGAUUCAUGUGGAAGCAGUAAACAUGGUGACUAUAGGCAUCUAGAUCCAAAAGAGGUUGAGAGUCAUGGCCUCUACAAUCAUGAUUUUUCAGUAGCCGAUAUGACCUAUGGACAUAGGAACCAUUAUACAGAAAAUGUCAGUGGAAUGGAUGAUACAUCAUCUGAGAGCAGCUCUUUUUUGCGAGAUCCACUUCGACAUGAUGUGGAGCCUUCUAGAUAUCUAACACCUAAUGGAGUUCUUUCACCUGUAAACUCCAAGGGUGCAAUUAACAUGGGAUAUAAACCAUCAGGAUAUUUGAAAGUGAAGGGCGAGAUAGAACAUGCUGCUAUAACUGCUGUUAAGAAGCAAUUAGGAAGGCAUUAUCAGGAAGAUGGUCCGCUACUUGCUGUAGAAUUUGAUCCACUUCCUCCAGGGGCAUUUGAAUGCCAAACUGCGGAUCCAGUUCAUGCAGAACCAUACUGUGUUGCAAAUCUUGUUCAUCCGAAUUCUCCAGAAAUCUCUGCUGUAAAAAGGAAACCCAGUCUUAGCUCUAGAGAUGAUUCACAUUAUACUAAAUUUAGUUCCCGAGAUUCACAUAUGGAAGGAGUUGACUUCGGCUCGUUGCAUGACACUGAUUUCCAGCGUAAACAGGAUAAGAAAGGCCGCCAGAAUAUUAAACAAAGGCAAAGUCUUUACAGUUAUACCGAUCAUUUUCCUGGCAGGAACUCUUCCCUGGAUUUGUAUGAAGACUCUACCGGAGAAGCAUCUGCUCAUAAUGGCACUAAGAAUCAUAGAAUGGGCACUAAGCAUGGUGUUGAGGGGAUGAGAUCUGAUUCUGCUUCUAACCACAGUGAUCACUAUGAAGAGAACCUUGCAGUUAAGCAGACAGAGUUGCUGCUACAUGGCUAUGAUAACAUCAAUCCAAGAAAUGUGCAAAGGAGUGAACAUGUAAAAUCUAAGCCUUUAAAUUCAAACCGUAAUUCUCGAGUUUCUGUGGAUACUGCAGAAAGAGGACUAUCUACUAGGAUGUCAAAGGAACAGAUGUUUAAGGGGGACAGGAAGGCAAAAAAGCAACAUCGCAACGCAGAUGGAUCAGGGAUGCUUUCAAAUGAAAUCACAGUGAGUUUUAGCUGUGCAAGCAUACCUCUUCCUCUGAAAUGUCACAAAACGAGUUAAAGUUGAUGAUAUGCCUCAGCCGUACAAUGUGAAACAAUCACCUGUUGCUGAGAUGGAACAAAGGAAAAAUCAGAGAUCUGCUGCAGAGAUGCCAUCUAGCUUUAGCGAGGAUGAAACUGCUGAAACCAGUUCCUCAAUGGAUUAAGUUUUGUUGAUAGAUGUGAAAAGUGUGCAGGAUUUCUCUAAGCCAUUGUCUAUGUAUAGUAAAAAGGGGGCGAACCGAGCAGUGGUAAAGCUGCUCCUUUGUGAGUAAAAGGUCACGGGUUCGAAUCCAAGAAACAGGAUAAGACUGCGUACAAGGAUUGUCCUCAUCCCACACUCGCUAGUCGAGUUUAAUUGGAGAGUGGUUUUUUAUUGUCUAUGUAUAGUCUAAAAAGGCAUACAUUUUCCCAGUAACAUGGGAAGCACUGUUUCUAGCUCAUAUGUAUGUCAUUUGUCUUAUUGGUUUAGUUAUGGCAGUGCUUUUGGCAUCCAAAUUUGGUCCAAUUUGAUGCUUGCUUGGAAGAGUCAACUAUUUCUACCUUGUGCUUUAGCAAUUAAGAAUAAUUAAUCCCAUUGGUUUUGUAUUGAUU